GCCAAAAUCUGGUCUCACGGAUUUGGGCCACAAAGAAGAUUAGGCUCAAGGUACCACCGGAGCCCUUUAUCAAUAAUGAUUUAGGUCCAGCUCAAAACAAAUUCGGCCCAACCUAAUUUCAACGACGUCCUCUUUAAGGACGAAAGCCCAACCUAAUUUCAAAGUGAGCACAACUAGGACAUCACCAGGAACCGCCUCAGUCCCACUAACCCCCGGACCACCUCUAUUAAACACGUUUCACAACUUCAUGAAGACAUUUCAACAAACAGCUUAUAUGCAUUGAAAGGCUUGAAUACAGUGAUCAGCAUUUAGAACAGUAACGAGGUCACGAACCAUCUACUAAUGACUCGGAUUUCUCAGUGACUUCCACAAAAGCAUCACGAAUACCGUUCGGCCUUGAGUCUUACCAGAAAAGAGGGCAAAACAUGGAAGGUGGUGUUAC
rnacentral:lncRNA from 1 species